CGCGGUAAUACGUAGGGGGCAAGCGUUGUCCGGGAAUCACUGGGCGUAAAGAGUGCGUAGGCGGUGACGCAAGUCUGGAGUGAAAGUCCAGGGCUCAACCCUGGGAAUGCUUUGGAAACUGCGUGACUUGAGUGCUGGAGAGGCAAGGGGAAUUCCACGUGUAGCGGUGAAAUGCGUAGAUAUGUGGAGGAAUACCAGUGGCGAAGGCGCCUUGCUGGACAGUGACUGACGCUGAGGCACGAAAGCGUGGGGAGCAAACAGGAUUAGAUACCCUGGUAGUCCACGCUGUAAACGAUGAGUGCUAGGUGUUGGGGGGUACCACCCUCAGUGCCGAAGGAAACCCAAUAAGCACUCCGCCUGGGGAGUACGGUCGCAAGACUGAAACUCAAAGGAAUUGACGGGGGCCCGCACAAGCAGUGGAGCAUGUGGUUUAAUUCGAAGCAACGCGAAGAACCUUACCAGGGCUUGACAUCCCUUUGACGCCGGUAGAGAUAUCGGUUCCCUUCGGGGCAAAGGAGACAGGUGGUGCAUGGUUGUCGUCAGCUCGUGUCGUGAGAUGUUGGGUUAAGUCCCGCAACGAGCGCAACCCUUGACCUGUGUUACCAGCACGUAGAGGUGGGGACUCACAGGUGACUGCCGGCGUAAGUCGGAGGAAGGCGGGGAUGACGUCAAAUCAUCAUGCCCUUUAUGUCCUGGGCUACACACGUGCUACAAUGGGCGGUACAACGGGAAGCGAAGCCGCGAGGUGGAGCGAAUCCCAUAAAGCCGUUCGUAGUUCGGAUUGCAGGCUGCAACCCGCCUGCAUGAAGCCGGAAUUGCUAGUAAUCGCGGAUCAGCAUGCCGCGGUGAAUCCGUUCCCGGGCCUUGUACACACCGCCCGUCACACCAUGGGAGUUGGCAACACCCAAAGU
rnacentral:rRNA from 1 species